CCUACGGGGGGCAGCAGUGGGGAAUAUUGCACAAUGGGCGCAAGCCUGAUGCAGCCAUGCCGCGUGUGUGAAGAAGGCCUUCGGGUUGUAAAGCACUUUCAGCGGGGAGGAAGGCGGUGAGGUUAAUAACCUCAUCGAUUGACGUUACCCGCAGAAGAAGCACCGGCUAACUCCGUGCCAGCAGCCGCGGUAAUACGGAGGGUGCAAGCGUUAAUCGGAAUUACUGGGCGUAAAGCGCACGCAGGCGGUCUGUCAAGUCGGAUGUGAAAUCCCCGGGCUCAACCUGGGAACUGCAUUCGAAACUGGCAGGCUAGAGUCUUGUAGAGGGGGGUAGAAUUCCAGGUGUAGCGGUGAAAUGCGUAGAGAUCUGGAGGAAUACCGGUGGCGAAGGCGGCCCCCUGGACAAAGACUGACGCCCAGGUGCGAAAGCGUGGGGAGCAAACAGGAUUAGAUACCCGAGUAGUC
rnacentral:rRNA from 1 species